GCCUGGUGGUUCCUGGAGACAGCUGGACUGUGCUGAUCUGUGGGUUUUGAUAGACAGGCAGACAUUAACUCUGUGAUUUUAUGCAUGGAGACUGUAUUUCUAUGCAGGCUCCAUAGCCCGGUUGCAGAAACAAUU